AUUUACGGGCGGCUCGCCACGCAGACGAGCGUCUCUUUGCGGAUUCUUGGGCUUCCACCGAUAUUAUUAGCGAUCGCGUCCUCUUUUUGAUCCUGGCAGAAGGACGGGGGAAGGCUCCUUCCCUUGCGGCCGUCGAGAGAGUGCUGGACACGGCGGGUGGUUUUUUUCGUGGCCGCGUAUAAUGCGCUCGAUAGAAGUUGCUUGCUCGAAAUCCUUCGAACCCUUUUUCCCUUGUUAGGGCCAGCUCCAGGUCCAGGCUCGAACGAGUACGCAUCGAAGGGACCGCGAAUUUAUUUCUUCUGGCGUAGGCAUUCGCCGCGUUUCCCAUCCACCGAACAGACGCUACGACGACAACGACGAUGACGUGCGGUUUAAUGAUAUGCAGCAUUCAGAAUGAUCGUCGUACCAUGCCAUGCUUCUCACCCCGGUGUCGCUGGAUCGACCGACGAUGAGAGAGAAAGAGAAACUAUCACGGGACCGUGAAGGAAGAAAAAGGGGAUGGGAGAAGAACCAUAAAGCGUCGCAGGGCCCUGGUACUGCUUUUCGCUGCUACGGCUAACUACGCAGUCUAUAUAGAUCGAUAUAAUUAAUAGCUCCGGCAUGGAUCGGGUAACAUAUGGCUCGGGACACGUUCGAAGAACGGAGAAGGACAGAAAACUCGGGGACAGCAGAGUGGAGAGAGGAGAAAAGACUCGGGGCACAUCGAACUCUUGGACCGCGCUGCAUUCAAAGGGAUUAGAGGCGAAUAAACGAACACCGCGAGGUGUUCUCGUGCAAGCGAAAAAAAACGACAGCGGCAUGCUAAUUCCUACCUGGUGGCGUCCUCAAGGUCCAAGGAGGAGCCUACCAGUUCGCCUGUUCGUCACACUAUUUUCGGUGUGAGUUUAAUAUUGACCCGGCGAGAUUAGGUGCGAGCCAGGUUUGGAUUAAACGAAGCGACGGCUUUCUUGAUCAUUCGUGAAGAAGUUAAGGGUUUGGUUUCGUUUAACGUUUGGAGAAGUUGAGAGAAAAUUGAGGAUAUCUGUGAAGGGUGAGUUUCCUAUGCGAUUAGAUUGUUUUAAGGAGGACAGCGAUGAGGAGGAAGAAGAAUUAGAAGAAGAAACGGUGACUUGGAUUACGUAUUCCUUCUUUUAACAUAUGUCAUAGACGAUCAAAUUUUUAGGCAGAAUUUUAUUCCUAGUUAUCGGUGUUGUAUUUCUCUAAUUGUGAUCGCAAAUUUCUAGAUUUCGACGAUUCUAAUUUGUCAGAAACGAAGCACGUACAGAGAGCAACCGAAUGAGUAUCGAGGAAUCGAAUGAGUAUUGAUACUCACGGAUAGAACCAACAAAAAAUAUACGACAGGGCAGAACAAAAAAUUCUUUCUGUUCCAAUUUCCAUCCCCCGCUAUUCGAUACGAUAAAUUCAAGCAGCGAUAGGGAUACCACAGUAAUAUCCAUUAAAAGUAACCUAAAUAGAACACACAACCAUAUAUAUAAGUGCACGCGUACUCUCUACAUUCUCAACAAUAAUUUAUCGAAGAAUAAAGCUUCCGUAAAGAACAUCACUUUGUAUUUCCGACCUAUUUUCCCCAUAAAUUCGUCCUUUCUCAAGUUGGUAGCAUCAAUUGAAAAAUACCCUGUAUAUCGCAUACGUAGAAUUUCCAUGUGAAUUGCCAUCGAUGGACAAAGAACGAAAGAAAGAUGCCAGUUCAACCCUCUAGUGGAGAUAUCAUUUGCAUUCCCUCGUCGACAAGGCCACGUGGCCACACCGUGCACACGGCCUUUUUCGCACCCCGCGCUCGCGCGAGUAAACGGCGCUCGUUUUGCAUAAUUUCACGAAUCGCGCGUAUAAUCGUUCCCCGCCGGUACAAAACGCAGCGGCAUUUUGUGUCGUACUCGCGCGACCCUGGCCUCUUCCGUAUUAGCAUAAGCUUUUCGAAAUGACGCAGAAAGAGCGACACGUGACCCGUCACAAGCCGGAAGGACCAGGCCCUCGAAAACGAAAGGUUUCAGGCGUCAUGAAUUUCUGAACCAACUCCGUUCUUUUCUUCCUCGUCCCUCGAAUUACCUCCCCACUGUCGAUUGUCGAUGUAUCAAAAUUUUGUCGAGCUAUGAGACAUAUAGGAGGAAGCUGAAGAACGUUUUCUAAGGGACACGUGGCAGACAGAGAGAGAGAGAGAGAGAGAGGGAGGGAGAGUCGCCUUGAACUUUUACACGAGCACGAGCCACGCUAUUAUUAUGGUAGCAGACGAUACACCGAUGUAAAUAAAUUUUAUAUGUGGGUUCUGAAGGAAUCAGUUGGAGAUUUGAAAUAGGUUGUGUUGCAUUUGUAUGUUGAUGAAGUUGUUUGAGAUUCAGGAGAUCUAUGAAGUGGCUGAUGGGGUGGUGCGUUGAUUUGAAUAUGCGGAUUUGUCUAUUGGCUGAUGAUUUUUAAAUAAUAGGUACUAGUGAGUACUAAUGAGUACUAAUAACAGGUAAUAAUGAGUACUUGUGUAGGUAAAUUUGUUAUGUUUCUUUCUUACGAAGCUUGUAAUGAAUUCGCGGCUAUAUGGUAUAUAAGCUUUUUACUAUAAGUAGGAUGAUUUAAGAAGGAAAUGAUUUAGUGAGAAGAUUUUUAUCUUUGUGAUUGUAAUAACACGCGAGCUUACGUCGAUGGUAACUACGUAAUUAUGGAUCGAAUAAUCAGAAAUAUUAUAACUCGAACUCUUUGCAAUAUGUUUUAUAGUAAUGCAGAUUUCGUAAUGUACGCAAUUUCAUAAUGAGUAGGAAAUAGACAUAAGUAUCUCAACAAGAUGUAACCAUCGAUCAAACUUACUCGCGAUUAAAAUGUUGGUCAAAGUUUUAAAUUUAACCUAGCUACGCGCGUAUAACUAUUCUUUUUUUAGCUGUAACUUUCACUAUUCACCUUCACGAUAAUGAUUUAAUUGUCUCUCGCGUAUCCAUAUACGGUAGAGUAGUUGGAAGAAAAUGAAUAUGUAUUGCUUUGCUAUCUGAUAAUUGAUAAUUUAUACCUGAGGAUUCACGAUGAAAUAGAAACUUCUUACAUAAUAAUUGGCGAAAUAGAUGUUAAAAUAAUCAAUCUACGAAA